UUGGCCCUGCAGUUUGAUGGAGCCGUUGGUUUCAAACAGGGGCCUAAAGAAAUGUCUUCCUAUAGUCUAUUGGCCAUUUCAGAACGUUGGAGAUGUUAUGGUCAAUUCCUUCAAAAGAAACAUCU
rnacentral:snoRNA from 1 species